GAAAUGAAUGAUUCGUGCGCAUUUACCUCGAUGGAUGCGACCAGUCUCGUGGAAUUCGUAGGAAAAACUGUUGUCGUGCGUACAAAACAGCAACACGCAUCGAAAGGCGUCGUUCACACUGUGGAUCCGGUGACAAAAAGUAUUGUAUUGCUGAUCAACAAACAGUGUGAGAUAUUUUCUGGAAUAAACAUCAAAAGUGUUCAAUUUGAAGAAUUGUAAAUGUCAGAUGGAUUUUUAAAAACUAAUCUCUUAUUUUCUCAUUUAUGUUUAUUAUUAGACAUCAAUAUUUAUAUUAUUUUAACUAUUAAUUAUAAUUUAUAAUGAUAUAAUGCAUAUUUAUAUUUUAUGUACAAUAUAAAAUAUAGGUAAACUAAGUAAAAUAAAAUAA